rnacentral:lncRNA from 12 species
UACACACCAGUGAGGUUGCACUUCCCCUCCACCCAGUUGCUCCCGAGAUUCUCACACGUGAAUAACUGCCCCUAUGGUCUGACUGGGCCCGAAGCCACACCACCAAGCUGUGAUCUUGGCAAAACCCACAAGGUAAAUAAGGCUGGGCACAAAGUACAACUGGAUGGGAGGCAUGUGAGUGCUGAAGGAUGAG